rnacentral:rRNA from 1 species
CCUACGGGAGGCAGCAGUGAGGAAUAUUGGUCAAUGGACGAGCGUCUGAACCAGCCAAGUAGCGUGAAGGACGACUGCCCUAUGGGUUGUAAACUUCUUUUAUAUUGGACUAAAAUGUUCCACGUGUGGGAUUUUGUAUGUCCCAUCUGAAUAAGGAUCGGCUAACUCCGUGCCAGAAGCCGCGGUAAUACGGAGGAUCCGAGCGUUAUCCGGCUUUAUUGGGGUUAAAGGGAGAGUAGGUGGAUUGUUAAGUCAGUUGUGAAAGUUUGCGGCUCAACCGUAAAAUUGCAGUUGAAACUGGCAGUCUUGAGUACAGUAGAGGUGGGCGGAAUUCGUGGUGUAGCGGUGAAAUGCUUAGAUAUCACGAAGAACUCCGAUUGCGAAGGCAGUUCACUGGACCGCAACUGACACUGAGGCUCGAAAGUGUGGGUAUCAAACAGGAUUAGAUACCCGUGUAGUC